AUGCAGGCAUGAGUAGCGAAAGACGGGUGAGAAACCCGUCCGCCGGAUGACUAAGGGUUCCAGGGUCAAGCUAAUCUGCCCUGGGUAAGUCGGGACCUAAGGCGAGGCCGACAGGCGUAGUCGAUGGACAACGGGUUGAUAUUCCCGUACCAGUGAAGAACCGUCCAUGUUGAGCCGGUGAUACUAACCGCCCGAACCAUCCCGAACCCCGUCUUUGACGGGGUCGGUGAUGGGGAGCGCGGGA
rnacentral:rRNA from 1 species